AUAUAUUAUAGUUUAAAAUAAAAUAUUAAAUUGCAAAUUUAAUGAUAUUAAAAUAAAUUAAUUAAUAUAUA
rnacentral:tRNA from 1 species